ensembl:lncRNA
CACCAUCAAAAACAUCAACACCAUAGGCAAAAUAAAGUCUCUCCAGCAGCGUGAGUGAGCUGCUUUUAAGGCACUUUCGGAUUAAAUGUUGUCAAAGAGAAGAGGCAGUGUGCAGGAAUACCGGUGAUGUGGCCUCUCAUCAUGGCAUCAGAGAGAUGGCACAGGCAUUGUUGUUUUGGGUUUCGACAACUACAACUACAUAUUGCAAACUCAUAGAGGCAUAUAUUAUACACAUAUAUAUAUAUAUAUAUAUAAAAAAUACUCAAAUAUAAAGCAUACUCAAAUCAUUCAAUCAUUCAGAGAGUGAGCUGCUUGUAAUACACUUUGGAAUAAAAAAUUAAAAACAGGGAAUGUUUUCAUCUCAUUUCAUUCAUAUGUCAUAUAAGUAUUUCACAUACUUAUAUUUAAAUGACCCACCACCAAAACAUCAACACAUCCCACCAUAAGCACAAUCAAAUCUUUCAAUCAGUGUAAGUGAGCUGCUUGUAAUGCACUUGGGAAUAAAACAUUUAAAACACGGAAUUCAUUCAACAUCUCAUUGGACAUCGGAUUGUUUGCACCUUUACAUCCGCACACAUGAAUGACACGGAUCGACGAGUGGACUGCUAAGAAGUCUAAGACAUCCCUGUGAUAAUAACGUAAUCCCUGUGAUAACACGAUCCCUGUGAUAAUAAUGCCUUUAAGACAUCCCUAUGUAUGUAUAAUAAUAAUAAACGGCUCAUAAGAGCUUAUUAAUGACCUAAUUAUAAUAUUAUAAAUAUAUAUCAAACUAUAUAUAUAUAUAUAUGCUUGCUCAUUUAGUGUGCUCACUGGCACAGCUUUGAGUGUCAGCUUCCACAGUUCAACACAAAGCUGGAGCCCUUGUCACUACCAUUCUACCUUUGGCCAAGCCACCACUAAAAAGGUGCAUGUUUGAAAGUGCUAUGCUUGCUUUAAGGCACUAAUGGCAAUGUCUACUGCAGUUUCAAAGCUGGAGUUAUCCACGUUGAUUACUGCGAAACAACAGCUGGUAUGCUAUGCUCUCUUGGUUAGAAACAGUACUGAUUUACACUAAAGGGUUUAACUCAUUGUGUGCCCACUAGCACAGCUUUGACGCGUCCACAGCUCAAAAACUGGUGACUGACUGGCAACAUAUGCAGCAUAGGAGCCUCUCUUUUACAGGCUCAAAAUCACACACCUUGAUUAACAAUAUAACAGUCAGUUCAAAUGGAUAUGGCUAGGGUAUAUAAAACAUGUCUGACAAGCUACAGCAAAUGUAAUUGUUUUGAACAACAAAAGAAGCACUGCAGUUUACUCCUUGUAAAGGUGCUCCUGGCACAUACUGCACAGAACAGUUUUCUUACACUACAAGCUCAUCUCUGUUGAUUGGAAAUAGUACUGAUUUACACUUAACUCAUUGUUAAAAUCCAGAGCAAAGCUGGAGUUACCCAUGUUGAUAACUGCGAAACAAGAGUUAGUUUGCCAUGCUCUCUUGGAUAGAAACGGAACUGAUUUACACUAAAGGCUUUAACUCAUUGUGUGCUCACUGGCACAGCUCAAAGGCUUCCACAGCUCAAAAGAUGGUGACUGACUGGCAACAUUUGAUGCAUAGGAGAUUGUCUUUACCUUUUG